CCCCACUGACAGCAGCCCGCGCGGUGAGCGCUGAGGAUUCGCGUUACGCGGCACAGAGCAACGAUACGGAGCGAAGGAGUCGUUUCCAGCCGCAAGAGCAGCCCUUCCGUCUGUCCUCAGCGCUGCAGGUACGAGAAGGGCCGGGCAAUGUCCGUACUCCCACGGCGAACCUGCGCUUCCUCAGCCGUACCUACGACCGCCAACCCACGGCUCCCUCGGAGGAGCCGACAGCAGCCGCCCCACACCGUCACACACUCACCGCAGCUCCAACGCCCGCAGCUCCCCGGCCCGCACAGCACCGGCCCCCAUCACCGGCCCCGACGGCCGCCCCGUGCCCACGUCACCGGCGCCGGGUGCCGCGCUCGGCCGCUCGCUGAGGGAAGGGCCGGUGCCGACCGUUUCGGCGUCGGGUGGCGGUGGGGGCGAGGAGGGGAGGCUGCGGUUACCGCCGUUCCGCACCCGUCGCUUUCCUUCAAGGGGAAGAAGGGCUGGGCGAGCGGAGCGGGGGCCAUCCGUCCGCCUUUAUGCGGCGCUCGCCCGACGCGAUGACUUCGGCGGAGUGGGAGGGCGGCGAAGCUGAGGCGUGACGACGUGAUCGCGGAGCUCCGCUGAGGGGGAGAGCAGCACAGAAGCAACGAAUGGCCUGGGGUGGAAGGGAACCCGAGGUUUUUCCUGUAGGGGUGGAAUGGAUGAAGAGGCUCUAACCAGUGUUUCUUUUCAAUGAAAGAUCAUUUUAUAACCAAAAACCCAAUUUAGAAGUGAAUUAGAGGAAGCAGUUCUACUACUGCUUUAAGCUUCCUUUUAUUCUCUCCUCUUGUUCUCAGAAUCUCUUUAGAUGAGCAGUAAAUGGUUUCAUCGCUACUUGGGAAAACGCUGAGAUGAAGCAAGCAUUUCCAUCCAUGCAGAACUCACGGUCCCUCCAAAAUGUCACCCAUGUGUUAUUUGGGUCAGCCACACACCCAGCGCUGAGGUUCCUCCUCUGGAAGUUUCACUUCAUCCAUUCAAAGUCACCACAACUCUUGGUUCCAGCAAGGACGUAACAAACCAUGGACAGCAGUAUAGGACUGCCAAGUAGUCUUUGAAGAAAGAAUACCUAAACGUGUUUGUUUGCUUGGAGAUGUUCUGGUGGCUCAUUUGUAAGAAAUCCAACCAAUAAAAAACUUGAUCAGCUCGGUUCUUAGAAAUCAUCUUUAAAUAUUCUUUCCUCCCACUUUUAAAAGCAGGGAUGGCCUCGCUGAAGCCAAACAAGAACACAGAAACUGAAUUAGGUUCGAGGACAAAUAUCCCUUUUUGGGCAACUUCAGCUUUGGAUCUCCCUCCUGCAUGCACAGAUUUUUCUCCAAGGAAAUGAAUGCCCCUUCAGCAAGUCGGAAGAAAACCCAAAUCCCUCUUUGGGUUCCAAAUCCAGAAGCGUUCGAUUCCGGAAUCCUGAGCACUGUGAAACAACCGACCUGCAUCCACCUCAGGGUCUCCUGGCACAGCUCUUCCGCCGCGUUAAGCAUCAGUCUGCACACUCCCGUCGUUCCGGCAGAGGGCGAUAUAAUUAAGCCGUUUAUUAAAGGCUCUCCAAGGCGAUCGCCGUAGCUGGCGCUUACAGAGCUCCCCGGGUUUUGUUGUUGCUCCGCGUCUGUGUUCUAAUGCCAAAUGUUUCCAACUAAAUCUUGUUUUGAUCCCAGAAAAGCUCACGCUGCUUAUUGCUCUUCUUACCGCACAAACACUCAGGCACAGUCUCAACAUCUGAAAAUAUCUCUAUGGAGAAAUCAAGAUAUAACCCUCUCUGCCACCAUUUUUUUUUCUCUUGUUCUCAGCCAUCCACUUGAGUGUAAACGUUACACUGUGCCUCACACCCCUAAGAAACCUUUACAUUAAUAUGUAGUUUUAAAAGUCUCAGAGGUAUCUCCUGAAACACAUUAAUGUCAAUUGGGAGGAAAUCAAUUGAGAGUUCAUGAUAAGUGCUCCCUAAUUCUUCCUAUGGCUUUGCUAUUCACCCACUCAUCUGUGCAGGUAGACAUUCACAUGCAUAUGAAAUGAAAACUCACUUUCAAAGUGUAACAACAGGAAACCUGCACUGAGAUCACUCAUAGGAAAGCUUUAUUUUACAGUAUGCAAGUUUAUGGAUCAUGAGAGAUCACAAAACGUUUGUAAAGACUAUCCCAGUGAUGAGGCUCUGUGGUUUAUUUACUGAAGUCUCGGCACACAUACAGUCAUGCGUCCUUAGAAAGAUAACCGAAUCUCCAAGACAAGAACAGAACGGCCACCAGGCAGAUUCCAUAAAACCUCACAACAAUACAAUGAACUGCAUUAGAGAUUCAUAACUCAUUGAAGGAGCAAUGCUCCCUCCUGAGCCAUAAAACCAGUCAAGAUAACACCAAGAGCAGAUGGUAAGUCUGACAGUGAGAUUUCCCUCUCCUCAAGCAUGAAGAGAGGAAAGUAUGAAACACCUGUAAAGUAUAUUGAGAGUAUGGCUGGCACAAUGUCACAGCAAAAGUGCCAGGUGGGCUCAUUGCAAAACAGCUGUAUUCAUUUCUUGUCCCCUUUGUAACAAGAUUCAUAUGUGGAUGGAAAUGCUUAACAAAGUGAUAAUGAAUCUCUGAACGUUUACAUAAUCUCCAUCAGUGCAAAGACUGGCCCUGUGCUAACAGUAAUUCACUGCAGUGUAAAAAAAAAGUUAUAUUCUUUUCACUGCAUUUGGCAUUUUGAGCUCCUUACGUAUAAAACAGCUACUGUAUUUCCUAUGUACGUUGACUGUGGAUGGCUUGUGCAAUAACAAGAGACAGCAAUUACUGCUAUAUAUCAAGUGUCCACAAUGAGAAGACAGUCCCUGCUAUCACGUUCUUACACAGAACAAAGUAGCUAAUGCUUAGUUACUAUUUACAUAAAUAUACACACUAACAUGUAUAUAUAUAUAUACACACACACACAGUAUCCAACACAACACCAGGCUCAGCUAAUAGCUUUUCCAAAGGCAUUGUGAUAUAACAAUGUAAUAGCCAUAUACAAGGGCUGCUCCAGAAGUAAUGCCUCCAACUGUACUGAGUAGCAUCACCAAAACUCUGCUUUCCUGUACUGUACAGCAGUAAAAAGAUGAUAUACUGCAAUGAGUUCAAAGAUCAGAGAAUGCCAUCUUAAUUACCAGGUUGGAGGGACCGAUUCAUCAAGCAAUAUCAAACUAAUAAAGAUGCAUAGCUUUGCCUAAAUAAGACUAUUACAGGAAGACUAAAUAAUCAAACACACAAACACCUCAUCAUCAAUAGAGAUCUUAAUUAAAAAGUCAAUAUUUGCAUAUCUUAAGCACACUGUGGCAUCACAGAUCAUGACAUUUGCUUGAAACAAGAUGUGUCAUUAAAACGUAGAACUACACACAAACACCAAAAAGAAUAUCACCUUAGCAUUAAAGAAGUGGUAGUAUAGUUCUGACUGUUACUGACCUGCAGCCGCUCAGAGCAAAUGGUCACACAGCAGUGCUCCAUGCUUGCAGGAACACUGUAAAAAGCAAUGGCUCCAACUGAAUUUCAGAUACCAAUUAAAUUUUACUUUCCUUCUUAGGAAGAGGCACAGCAUACACUCGAAAAGGCCAUCCCAUUUUGAGCAGUGCAAAAAGCACUUCAUACAACAAGGCUGUACCAAGGCAGAACAUUCACCAGCAAUUCAAUGUAGUCAAGGACAAAACUAAAGGAAAUCUUCCAAGGUGCAUGCCAAAAGAAAAAAAAAAGCCAACAAAAAUAAUAAAUAAAACCCACCAUGAACCACUGCCAAAAGAUCCCUUUAAAUAGCUAGGGAAAAAUGGAAAGACCUUACUCUACUUUUUUCCUCUCCGUCUCUAACACAAUACUCCAAAUUUCAACACACAAAAGGUGACGAAAACAUACCGCGUCCCCGGAGGCUGCUUGAAGUCCGCCUGCCGCCUUUCCCUCACAGCACUCAGCUUCUGCCACACCUCAGCUCUGAGGUGAACACCUGUUGCCCACUUUCCUGCCCAUGGGCCUUAUAUAGGUUUCCCUGCCGCCCAGCAGCCAAUAGCAGCUCAGAACGCCGCUUUCUCUUCCCUCCGCUUUCUCUUCUCACCUCCGCCUUCCCGCCCUUUCCAGCUGAAGGGGGACGGGUCGGGCUGGAGUCACCUGAAGGUCACGGGCCCCUCGCAGGCAUUGCCGCCCGUCCCCUCAGAGCUGAGCCGCCUCACAGGUGGUGUCACCUCACGAACCACACCCUGGCUGAGCUGAGGGUGGGCAAUUCAUUUCUUCAGUUCCAGUGUUUCUUUUGACAGUCUCAUAAGCAUUAGGCAUUCCUUCCAGAGCAGUAACGUCCACAAACGCAAUUAAAAAUACAUAUAUUUUUAAUGAAUUCUGCCAUUGAUGCCUCACAUCUGCCCUGCAGGCAAAAUCCCUUCUGAGCUCAGACAUAUCAUUACAGAGAGAAAAGGGUGAAGAAAGCUGAUGCCUGAUGUGUGAGGGCUACAAUUUAUUUGUAAGUUCAAGAUGCUCUUGUUUUAUGGAGCUGCUUGUAUUCUGUCGUUUAUUUACACACCCUGGUUGGAAAUGCUCACCUCAGUGCUAUGCACUGCAGUGAACGUUUGCUAAACUCAUUUCCUUCUGUCCUUGGCUGCGUUCUUUCUCACUGUAACAGCAUUAUGAAAUAGGGCUAAGAAGGAUACAAAAUGAUGGGUCCACAACCUUUUGUGCCCUGGAACAACUUUACCUCUUUAACUCCCAGUGCACUACUUGAUAUUAUGAUGUGAAAUACCGAUAGCAAAAAAUCAUGACAAGGGAUUAACAUGAAAGAGCACACAGGAGGAGCAAUGAUAGAAACACACCUAGGUAUUGCUCAGGAUCUUGCCGACUUCACUCAGUUUUAGAUGUGUUUUUGCCCUGGAGUAGCCAGAACAUUUUUCAGGAUCAGAACAGUAAGAUGACUGAGGUAGUAGAACCAUCAUCUGUAGCAGAACUGCCAGUUUGUAUUCACUCAUGGAUCCUCUGCUUGGUCGCCUCUAAUAGGCUUUAAAUUUUAUUGACCUUUCUAAAAGCUGCAUUCUAGAUUGGAUUUGGCAACAACUGAUAGAACAAACUGACUUUGAUAUCUUUGAUGGUAGGUGUAAUCACCAUUAAUUACAAAUGGUGAGUUAUCACAAAAAAUCUGCUUACAUACGUUAUCUGGAGAAACUUGGGACAAGAAAUGACAGGGAGGCUUGUAAAUCUAACACCUGUCAUUUAUUGUCAUCUGUGCUAGCUAUUUGGAAUGUCACAGUUGUCUUCACACUGAGCAGUGAGUUCGCACUCCUGCGCUUCUCACUCAUGGAUCAAUUAUUGUCUAGAUUAGAUAUCUUCCUGUAGAACACUUUAACUCCCUUCUGACCUGUAUGCAUAAGGGGUUUCUUUUUUGUCCAUGAAGGGCUAAGCAUACAGGUUUUGUCCUAAUACUGCAAUCAGCAGCAGCUGGAGUCUGAUUCACUUGCCCAAAGUAUUUCUGGGACUAGCAUCCCACUUUCAGCUUUGUAAAAUGAUCAUGUUGUCAUGGGUUGACUGCAGGAAGCUGCUGAGUACCACAUAUAUACUUGCUCACUCACUCUCCUCCACCCCCCAGUAGGACAGAGAAAAGAAGCUUCCUAAAAACCCUCCCUCUGUAUUUAUUGUUGAGCAUAAUGUUAUAUAACAUAGAACAUCCCUUAGGUCAAACUGGGUCAGCUGCCCAGGUUAUGGCCUCUCUUUUCUUCUUGCCCAUCCCCAGUUUAUAUGCUGAAGGAGGUGGGCAGAACAAAAAAAUAGAAAGUCUGGAUUCUGAGGAGUACUUCUCAGCAGCAGCCAAAACACUGGUGUGUUAUCGACACACAUUUGGUCACAAAGGUGAACUUUAGCACCAUAUGGGCUACUGCGAAAUAAAUGAACUCCAGUUCAGCUGGACUCAGAACGCAGGUGUGUUUAGACUUCAGCAGUUAGGAGCUGGAGUCUCAGCUGUUAAGGUCUCACCAAGAGACCCAGUUGAAUUUAACUGAAAACCAGGAAUAGGCCAUAAUAAUAAUAACAGCUAAGAAAUAAAAUAGCAACAAUGAUUAUUUAUAUAUCUAAGAGAAAAUAUUUUUGUUGACCUUCCCAGUAAUGAAUUAUUCACCACUCUUGUUCUAUAAUAUCUUUGAGAUAAAAGAAGGUACAGAAGGGGAAAAGAAAGUAAUUGAAAUUCCACACAUUUUUCAUCUCUGUCAUCUCUACACACAGCCACUCUAUCAGCAACUUCUUUUCACCCAUGCAAAACAGACUGCACAAUUCUACUUUACUUCAAAUUCCUGUGUGGCUUCACACAGCAGGUUAUGACACAAAGCCCCCGCCUGUAAAAUCAUAUAACUGUAGGCAAAAAUAAAUGCAUCUCUUUGACAUUCAGGCACAGAAACUGGCAAAAUACAAGUAAAUUUAAAAAGAAAAAGAAAAAGGAAGAAACCAAACCUAACAGCAGCAACAACAACAACAAAAGCCAAACAAACAACAAAAACUAAAAGUGAGACAUCCACUGAUAAGAGCAAACCUGACACCCUUAGAAGUGUUUAUGUCCUGUGUUUUGGCUCUUCUACCAAUUAAACAUUAAAGCUGCAUGCACAGGUUUUGGCAGAUUGCCAAGCUGCUCUCUAUCAUCUUUGAAAGGUCAUGGAGAACAGGAGAGGUCCCUGAGGACUAGGAGAAAGCCAGUGUCACUUCAGUCUUCAAAAAGGUCAAAAAGGAAAAGCCAGGAAACUACAGGCCAGUCAGCUUCACCUCUCCCUGGAUGUCAUCUCCAAUGUUUCCUGAAUUUGGUAGAGCUUCCUGAGCUUGAAGGCAGGUGCGAUAUCCUGAGAGCAGAAAGGCAUCGACUGUCUGACAGAGGAACUUCUGGUUUCCUGUUCUAAGGUGCUUCUCUGUGGAUUCACAAUGAAAACCAAGGGCUUGCACUUGCUGCCCCAGGCCAUGGUAUCGAUAAAUUGUACUUCGAUGGAAAAACAAUCACGCUUGUAAACUGCAUCGUUCAUUCGUGAAGCUUGAGAAGACGGUUCAGCUGGCGGGUGUUGAUUCCAAGUGCUACUCUACAGAGCCUGUGCUGCGCUGUGCAAAGGGAUGCUCUGCUACCAAGACAACUCCAGUAACUGUUGGCUUCCACUGCCUCCCAGCUGAUUCAGCUAACAGCCUGACUGACAAACAGAUGAAGUACAACCAGAAGUCAGAAGACAUGCAGGAUACUGUUGAUGCACACACAGAGUGUUCAUGUGAGAAUGAGGAGUGCAGUACAUGAAGCGGUACGUUGCAGCACUGGAGAAGACAGAAACAUUUUCAUUUUUAUUGUGUGGUGUAAGACACCAUCUUAAGUCACAUCUUAAGAAGCAAUAGAAAUGUUAAAUUAAACACUUAAAGAUGUGUGGAAUUUUCCCUAGUAAUUUAAAGUAUUAAACUUUAUUAUUAUAGAAACUAUUCUAAUUGCCUAUAAUUAUCUGAUUUCCUAAUAAACUCAUGCAUGGAAAAACCGAUGAAGGCUUCCUUCUUUCUCUGACUGUGGCAAGAGGAUGUCUGCAUUGCUUCUCUUCACCCCACGUUUUGUAGACUCGAGGCUGUGGCAGCCUGCGGUGUAGAUGUACAUCAGGCAAGAAUCUGUGUCAGGCCCCACCUGUGGUAUGGGUUGUGUGGAUUGGCAGAAGCUGCCUACCAGGCUCCAGCUUGUUUCCCCUGUGCUUCCUUCCCUGCUGCUGAGAUCCUGGGCACCACAGUAGGAGUUGGUUGGCUCUGGGUGAGACAGCACCCUCUGCAACAGCAAUACUGUGAGGUGCUCCACAGUGACGAUGUGAUGGGCCUGUACUGUCGUAGGGAACAGACUUCAGGAGUGAACCUGAACCUCAAGCAUAUGGACAAGGGUGCUCUGUAGGAAGCAGGAAAUGUGACAUUCCUGACACACUGCACACAGAAGCUGGUGUGAGUCAAGAAUCU